AACUGCGAGUGAAGAGGGACAAGCUCAAAUUUUAAAUCUAUCGGGUUUUACCCGAUCGAGUUGUAAUUUGAAGAGGCGUUUUCUGUGUUUCUGAUCAGUCCAAGUCCUUUGGGAUAAGGCAUCAUGGAGGGUGAGAAUCCCGUCCGGUUGAUCAGAUUCGCUUUACGAUACGCUUUCUAAGAGUCAAGUUGUUUGGGAUUGCAGCUUAAAAUGGGAGGUAAAUUUCUCCUAAGGCUAAAUAACGGCGAGAGACCGAUAGCGAACAAGUACCGUGAGGGAAAGAUGAAAAGAACUUUGAAAAGAGAGUUAAACAGUACGUGAAAUUGUUGAAAGGGAAACGAUUGAAGCCAGUCGUACCUAUGGGUAAUCAGCCUUUUGGGUGUGAUUUUGUGGAGCGUGAGGAGUUAAACGCCUUCAUGCCUGCAUAUUCGUGCACUUUGGGUGUACUUGCCCGUAUGGUUGGUUAACAUCAAUUUUGGUGGUCAUAAAAUGACUGGAGGAAUGUAGCUUCGAUCUCGUAUUGAAGUGUUAUAGCCUUCGGUAGAUGUGAUGAUCGAGAUUGAGGAUUGCAACGGAUACCCUUCGGGGCUACCUGUCUGAUCUCUGAUCGUUGCUCUGGUGCCGAAAGCUUGCUUACGGUUAUCAAAGUCGAUGGUCAAUAGGUUAGAACGGGUUAAAUUCGUUAAGGAUGUUGACGUAAUGGCUUUAAACGACCCGUCUUGAAACACGGACCAAGGAGUCUAACAUAUAUGCGAGUGUUAGGGUGAUUAAACCCUUACGCGUAAUGAAAGUAAUUUUGGUGGGAACAUUUUUGUGCACCAUCGACCGAUCAGGAUAUUUUUUGAUAGAUUUGAGUAAGAGCAUAUCUGCUAGGACCCGAAAGAUGGUGAACUAUGCCUGAAUAGGGUGAAGUCAGAGGAAACUCUGAUGGAGGCUCGUAGCGGUUCUGACGUGCAAAUCGAUCGUCAAAUUUGGGUAUAGGGGCGAAAGACUAAUCGAACCAUCUAGUAGCUGGUUCCUGCCGAAGUUUCCCUCAGGAUAGCAGAAACUCGUUAACAGUUUUAUGAGGUAAAGCGAAUGAUUAGAGGCCUUAGGGUUGAAACAGCCUUAACCUAUUCUCAAACUUUAAAUAUGUAAGAAGUUUAUCGUUACUUAAUUGAAGCGUGAACAUUCGAAUGAGAGUUU
rnacentral:rRNA from 1 species